AGGCUGAAGAUCAGAAGAUUACCCUUCCAGGAUAGAACAAUCCUUCUUUUCUUUCCUUGCUUCUAGCGCUUCCUGCAUUCCUUUUCUCAUGGCCUCUCCCUCCAUCUUCAAACCAGAAGUGUGGCAUCUUAGCAUCUUCAACUCUCUCUCUCUCUUUCCCCUCCCCCUUCUCUCUCUCUCCUACCCCCUCUCUCUUUCUGUCUCCCCUCAGACUUCUGCUUCCGCCUUCACAUUCCUCCUCUGAUUAUUACUACCCUACUUCCUUCUUUCACUGAUCAGGACCUCUGUGAAUGCUUUUGGUCAAUCUGGAUAAUCCAGGAUAAUCCCAACUGCAAAGUUUUCUUGCUGUGCAAGGGUGCCACAUGACUUUCUAGAGCCAGUGCUCCCAUCUUGCGCUAUGGUUUCAUGGUUGGCCUGAAGAACCAGACUGUCGCAGAGGCUGAACAGCGAAUACGACCAAAACUUGGCGAGAGGUAUCUCUCAUCUGCACUCAAUGUGACACACAGAUGCCGGAGAUCACAAGGUGGAAGAUGAGGAAGGAGCAGAUCAGAGAAUGGCAAUGUGCACUUUAUUGGAACUUUUAAAGAUUUUUCAAAGCACCAACUGUCAAAUUUGUAAUAUCCAACUCCACAAAGUAUAUGGAAUUCCCCAAAACACACGUGUCAC